AAGCUCUUUUGAAAAGAAAAAAACCUUUCUUUUAUCGGCACCUUUAGGGUUUUGAAACCUUAACAAAAGGUAAUGAAAAGAUCAAAAUAUUUGCUCAUUUCUUCAUUUGCCUCUUUACUGAGAGAGCUAUCGCCACCAUGGAGCUUAGGGUUUUGGCCGGGAAUACAUUUUUGAACUGCGACUAUAGUGAUUUGUAGAGGAUUUUUUGACAGAUAAAAGUGUGAUGUAGGCAUAGAACAACAAGGAAGAAACAAUUGGAUGUAGGUUGGGUGGAAGACUCAAGAUGACACAAGGCGUUGACGGGGGACCAAAUGUCCCACAUUGAUGAUGUCAUGCUCUCAACGAUCGAUUUUGGCCUACAAAGCUAUGCGGGUACCCCCUCCAUGUCUAGGCCUCGUCCUCAACGAAAGAAAUCCUCGAUGAUGCCUAAAUGUGGGAAGAAGAAUUGUUGAGUGCACUUGAUACGCUCAAGGAUCGAGAGAGGGAAAAGGAAAUAUCCAUAGCUGCUUCAUCAAUGGCGAGCCCUCCUCCAUGUACUGGAGAAGCAUCUCAUGCUUUGGUAAUAGCCACAGCUGCUCCAUCAAUGAUGAGAGCUCCUUAGUCUAUUGGAGAAGCAUCUGAGGCUCCGAUACACUUUUGUUCUCUAUAUUGUAAAUUUUUAAUGUUUUUUAUCUAUAUAUGUUAGUACAUUGUAUUAAUUGUAUUUAAUCUAAAAUAGGCCCCUUCGCAGUUCGGCCUUAACUUGGAUCCUUUGAAGUUUGUGCUCAAGAAAACUCCUAAGAAUGACAAGGAGAAGACAAAGAAGACAGUAGAUCCUAGAUCAGUAGAUGAGAGCUGCGUACUGCAUCAAAGAGGCUCAAUUUUGAUGAUCCACCACAAGUAUAGGAUCAUAUAGUGUUAGUUGUGGUCAUUGAAUGACCAACACAUGUAGAUAUAUUCUAUAUUUUUAUUGUAUAUCAAUUUGGACAUGGUAUAUGACACAUUUUUGUAAAACUUGUAUUGACUUGGCAUAUAUGUCUUUUUUGAUAUAUAUAAAUGUUUAUA